ACGAACGCUGGCGGCACGCUUAACACAUGCAAGUCGAACGAGAGAAGAGAAGCUUGCUUUUCUGAUCUAGUGGCGGACGGGUGAGUAACACGUGAGCAAUCUGCCUUUCAGAGGGGGAUACCGAUUGGAAACGAUCGUUAAUACCGCAUAACAUAAUUGAACCGCAUGAUUUGAUUAUCAAAGAUUUAUCGCUGAAAGAUGAGCUCGCGUCUGAUUAGCUAGUUGGUAAGGUAACGGCUUACCAAGGCGACGAUCAGUAGCCGGACUGAGAGGUUGAUCGGCCACAUUGGGACUGAGACACGGCCCAGACUCCUACGGGAGGCAGCAGUGGGGAAUAUUGCACAAUGGAGGAAACUCUGAUGCAGCGAUGCCGCGUGAGGGAAGAAGGUUUUAGGAUUGUAAACCUCUGUCUUCAGGGACGAAAAAUGACGGUACCUGAGGAGGAAGCUCCGGCUAACUACGUGCCAGCAGCCGCGGUAAUACGUAGGGAGCGAGCGUUGUCCGGAAUUACUGGGUGUAAAGGGAGCGUAGGCGGGAUCGCAAGUCAGAUGUGAAAACUAUGGGCUUAACCCAUAAACUGCAUUUGAAACUGUGGUUCUUGAGUGAAGUAGAGGUAAGCGGAAUUCCUAGUGUAGCGGUGAAAUGCGUAGAUAUUAGGAGGAACAUCAGUGGCGAAGGCGGCUUACUGGGCUUUAACUGACGCUGAGGCUCGAAAGCGUGGGGAGCAAACAGGAUUAGAUACCCUGGUAGUCCACGCCGUAAACGAUGAUUACUAGGUGUGGGGGGACUGACCCCUUCCGUGCCGCAGCAAACGCAAUAAGUAAUCCACCUGGGGAGUACGACCGCAAGGUUGAAACUCAAAGGAAUUGACGGGGGCCCGCACAAGCAGUGGAGUAUGUGGUUUAAUUCGAAGCAACGCGAAGAACCUUACCAGGUCUUGACAUCGUAUGCAUGGCUCAGAGAUGAGUGAAAUCUCUUCGGAGACAUAUAGACAGGUGGUGCAUGGUUGUCGUCAGCUCGUGUCGUGAGAUGUUGGGUUAAGUCCCGCAACGAGCGCAACCCUUACUGUUAGUUGCUACGCAAGAGCACUCUAGCAGGACUGCCGUUGACAAAACGGAGGAAGGUGGGGAUGACGUCAAAUCAUCAUGCCCCUUAUGACCUGGGCCUCACACGUACUACAAUGGCUGUCAACAGAGGGAAGCAAAGCCGCGAGGUGGAGCAAACCCCUAAAAGCAGUCUUAGUUCGGAUUGUAGGCUGCAACCCGCCUACAUGAAGUCGGAAUUGCUAGUAAUCGCAGAUCAGCAUGCUGCGGUGAAUACGUUCCCGGGCCUUGUACACACCGCCCGUCACGCCAUGGGAGUCGGUAACACCCGAAGCCUGUAGUCUAACCGCAAGGAGGACGCAGUCGAAGGUGGGAUUGAUGACUGGGGUG
rnacentral:rRNA from 1 species